rnacentral:rRNA from 1 species
AUUGCCCCAGUAACGGCGAGUGAAGCGGCAACAGCUCAAAUUUGAAAUCUGGCCCCCUCGGGGCCCGAGUUGUAAUUUGCAGAGGGAGCUUUUGGCGUCGGUCGUGGUCUAAGUUCCUUGGAACAGGACGUCACAGAGGGUGAGAAUCCCGUACGUGGCCGCCGGCCUUCGCCUUGUAAAGCCCCUUCGACGAGUCGAGUUGUUUGGGAAUGCAGCUCUAAAUGGGAGGUAAAUUCCUUCUAAAGCUAAAUACCCGCCAGAGACCGAUAGCGCACAAGUAGAGUGAUCGAAAGAUGAAAAGCACUUUGGAAAGAGAGUGAAAAAGCACGUGAAAUUGUUGAAAGGGAAGCGCUUGCGGCUAGACGUGCCCGCGGUUGAUCAUCCAGGCUCCGGCCUGGUGCACUCCUCCGCGGGCAGGCCAGCAUCAGUUCGGGCGGUCGGAUAAAGGCCUCUGUCACGUACCACCCCUCGGGGUGGCCUUAUAGGGGAGGCGCAACACGGCCAGCCCGGACUGAGGUUCCGCGCAUCUGCUAGGAUGCUGGCGUAAUAGCAGCAAGCGGCCCGUCUUGAAACACGGACCAAGGAGUCUAACAUCUAUGCGAGUGUUUGGGUGUCAAGCCCGAGCGCGCAAUGAAAGUGAACGGAGGUGGGAACCCUCACGGGUGCACCAUCGACCGAUCCUGAUGUCUUCGGAUGGAUUUGAGUAAGAGCAUAGCUGUUGGGACCCGAAAGAUGGUGAACUAUGCCUGAAUAGGGUGAAGCCAGAGGAAACUCUGGUGGAGGCUCGCAGCGGUUCUGACGUGCAAAUCGAUCGUCAAAUUUGGGCAUAGGGGCGAAAGACUAAUCGA